CCUACGGGUGGCUGCAGUGGGGAAUAUUGGGCAAUGGGCGCAAGCCUGACCCAGCAACGCCGCGUGAAGGAAGAAGGCUUUCGGGUUGUAAACUUCUUUUGUCAGGGACGAAGCAAGUGACGGUACCUGACGAAUAAGCCACGGCUAACUACGUGCCAGCAGCCGCGGUAAUACGUAGGUGGCAAGCGUUAUCCGGAUUUACUGGGUGUAAAGGGAGUGUAGGCGGGUAUGUAAGAUAGCGGUGAAAUGCCGGGGCUCAAACCCGGAACUGCCAUUAUGACUAUGUAUCUAGAGUAAUGGAGAGGAUAGCGGAAUACCCAGUGUAGAGGUGAAAUUCGUAGAUAUUGGGUAGAACACCGGUGGCGAAGGCGGCUAUCUGGCCAUUUACUGACGCUGAGGCUCGAAAGCAUGGGGAUCGAACAGGAUUAGAUACCCCAGUAGUC
rnacentral:rRNA from 1 species